ACAGUGUAGCACUGGUUGACAUGUUUCUUCAUUACGAUGAACAUGGGCAAUGUUUAUUCUGAGUCU